GACGAACGCUGGCGGCGUGCUUAACACAUGCAAGUCGAACGCUGAAGCUUGGUGCUUGCACUGGGUGGAUGAGUGGCGAACGGGUGAGUAAUACGUGAGUAACCUGCCCUUGACUCUGGGAUAAGCCUGGGAAACUGGGUCUAAUACUGGAUACGACAUGUCACCGCAUGGUGGUGUGUGGAAAGAGUUUUACUGGUUUUGGAUGGGCUCACGGCCUAUCAGCUUGUUGGUGGGGUAAUGGCUCACCAAGGCGACGACGGGUAGCCGGCCUGAGAGGGUGACCGGCCACACUGGGACUGAGACACGGCCCAGACUCCUACGGGAGGCAGCAGUGGGGAAUAUUGCACAAUGGGCGGAAGCCUGAUGCAGCGACGCCGCGUGAGGGAUGACGGCCUUCGGGUUGUAAACCUCUUUCAGCACGGAAGAAGCGAAAGUGACGGUACGUGCAGAAGAAGCGCCGGCUAACUACGUG
rnacentral:rRNA from 1 species